GGCUGGAGAGAGCUCUAGAGCCAAGCCUGCAGGUCUGCAUGCUCGGCUGAGCCCCAUCAGUGACCAGUGGCCCUCUGCAGCAGGCCCCAGCCCCUGGUGGUCUGCCCUGCCCGUCUCCAGCCCCAACACAUGGCUCCUGGCUUUGCUCUGUGCAGAUUGAAUUCCUCUUUCUGUCCCCAGAGAAUUGACCUGUCCCCAGGAAAUGGUGCUCCCUCUCGCUUCAGGGUCUUUGCUGACACAGUCCCUCUCCGUGAGUGACUGGCUCCGUGUGAUGGCUGAGGUCUCGGUUUGGCCCUGUGUCCCCAAGGGUGCCUCUGUCUGCGCCCAGGACAUGUGCUUCCUCUAUGAGUCCUCAUCAAACCCAUCGGUGAAUCUGUUUGCUCUCUUUAAUUAACUUGUUAUUUUGAGAACACUGUGGAUCCACCUGCACUUGUAAGAAACAAUACAGAGACCCGAGGACCCUUCUCCAUGUCCCUGUGGUGUCCUUACAUAAUCACAGGACACACCCCAACCAGAAUCCUGAAGUCGACACGGUCCCGAGCCCGGUUGCAGAUUUCAACCAUCACACACACUCAGGUGAGUGUGAGAAUUUGGUCCUGUGAAAUGAACAUAUUUAUUUCUGUUUAUUCGUUAUUUUGUCACAUAAAAUCGAACAGAUUUUCACCAUCUGGGAGGGUCUGUUUUGAUUGGCAUGACCCUG
rnacentral:lncRNA from 1 species